rnacentral:tRNA from 1 species
GGGCGGAUGGCGAAAUUGGCAGACGCACUACCUUGAGGUGGUAGCGACCGCAAGGUCUUGAGGGUUCAAGUCCCUCUCCGCCCACCA